GGUUCCGUAGCUCAAUUGGCAGAGCAGUUGACUCUUAAUCAAUUGGUUCUGGGUUCGAGUCCCAGCGGAAUCA
rnacentral:tRNA from 1 species